UACGUAGGGAGCAAGCGUUGUCCGGAAUCAUUGGGCGUAAAGCGCGCGUAGGUGGCUUCGUAAGUCCGUUGUGAAAGUCAAAGGCUCAACCUUUGAAAGCCGAUGGAUACUGUGAAGCUAGAGUACGGAAGAGGCGAGUGGAAUUCCUGGUGUAGCGGUGGAAUGCGCAGAUAUCAGGAGGUACACCGGUGGCGAAGGCGGGUCUCUGGGCCGAUACUGACGCUGAGGAGCGAAAGCGUGGGGAGCGAACAGG
rnacentral:rRNA from 1 species